UCUCCGUUGGUGAACCAGCGGAGGGAUCAUUACAGGACUCGCAAGACUCCUACAACCCUGUGAACUUAACUAUAAGCACGUUGCUUCGGCGGGUGUCUCGGAGGGGGUUCUCCCUCCCCGAGACGCUAAAUCCGCCGGCAGCCUACUAUACUCUGUCUCUUUGCGUUGGCAUCUCGAGUACAAUCAAACAAGUUAAAACUUUCAACAACGGAUCUCUUGGUUCUG
rnacentral:misc_RNA from 1 species